AUACGGAGGGGGCUAGCGUUGUUCGGAAUUACUGGGCGUAAAGCGCGCGUAGGCGGGCUGGUCAGUUGGGGGUGAAAUCCCGAGGCUUAACCUCGGAACUGCCCUCAAUACUGCCAGUCUUGAGAUCGAGAGAGGUGAGUGGAAUUCCUAGUGUAGAGGUGAAAUUCGUAGAUAUUAGGAAGAACACCAGUGGCGAAGGCGGCUCACUGGCUCGAUACUGACGCUGAGGCGCGAAAGCGUGGGGAGCAAACAGGAUUAGAAACCCCAGUAGUCC
rnacentral:rRNA from 1 species